rnacentral:lncRNA from 1 species
ACAUGUUCAAGAAGGAGUGGAGAGCAAGAAGACAUUUGUGGAAUUAGUUAGCAUAGGACGAUCCAUUGUCUAGAAUGAGUUAGCAUUUCUCGCUUCACAGAAUCAUGACUGUGCAUUUUGUGUGGUCAGUUUGGCAAGCCAGGCAGGACUCUCCAAUCGAGGACCAGAUCGUCCCGGCAUUGGAUGUCUUGCAUGCACCAGAAUCUUUUCUCCAGGAAUCUCCUCUUCCAGAAAAAUCUAAAAUGGCAAUUGGAAAGAAGACAUACUGGAUUCAUGUUGAUCUUUACACAAGGAAAGAAGUUAGAAUUGAUUCUUUUUGGUGUUAAGCAUGAAGACCAUAAGAGGAAGUCAACCAGCCUUUCCUAAAAAUUAUAUUCAUGUUGUGACCAUCUUCUAAUUUUCAUCCUUUAAUACCUAUCUUGUUGACUCUCUAAGUGCACUUAGACAUCCCCUGUCUUUGAUGACAAACUUAACUGUUUGUUUGCCAAUCCAUAUCACUCCCUUGAGAAUUAAUGCCUCUCAUUUCCUCCAACAUUCUUUUAUCCAGGCCUUCUCUUAAUGCUAAUUCUUCCACUCCUUGCUAAUUUGGGGCACAGUGUAAUUUUUUCUUGUGGCAUAGUGCAAAAGCAUUCAUUGAGAUAAGGCCUAGGACUGGGAGAUCAUGCUUUAUUUGCUUCUAAUGCCACUUAGUAAGCCUGGGAACGAAACAGUUCAUCUGCGGAGACACAAACUGAGAUAGUAAGACGAGGGGAAAUACAAUGGAAAAAGAAUUGGUUUUGUAUACAUAAUGUUUUUGAACUUUGUCACGUCUGUAUUUUUUAGUGUUUUAAAUAUAUCAGAACACUUCAGACCAGUGAAGAGUCAAGCAGACCAGCAGAGAAGCUGUGGCCAGGCAGGAGGAGAUACAGCCCUGAUGCCCUAGUCGCCGUGCAACAGCUGGCUCUCAGCUGGGUUAGGGAAAACCUGAUGGUCCACUAGUGAUUGUGAUGAUGUAUGUUUCAUUUGUAAGACAGCAUAUAAUAGUUUUAAGUUCAGUGGUAUUAUUUUCAAAAGAGCAAAGCAUGUCUAAAGACACCUGAUCUCUACAUUAUUCCACAUAGCUCAUUAGGGAAGUGGAGAGUCAGCUAUACCUUUGAUUUGCUCAGGCUGACUGGCCUAAUGGUAUUAGAUCCAACAGGAAGGGUGUCUUUCAAAACCAAAUCAAGCAAGUAAAGCUUCAGUGCUCCAAAAAGCAAUAAAACUUGCAUUUUGUGAUAACAAUCCAGCAGCUUGAUCAACAUAUGUGUGCAGAACAGAAGCUGUGAGAAUUAGAUUGUGUGUUUGCAGUAGAAACUUCCAAUACCAAGGUAUAGGUCCUUACUGAACUUAUAACUUUCUUACAGAUUGGCUGCUUCAAGAAAGAUACUGAGCAGCAAAACAGAACAGAGGCUAGGACACCCUGACUAGGGUAAGAAAUUAAUCCAGAAGGCUUGAGCAAUACCCACCACGAUGAAACAUCAACAAUGUGAGCUUUUGUGAAGGAAUCUAAAUAAAUGUAAAUAUAUAAUUAACUUUUUGCUUACUAGUACAACAUAAUAGGUAUCAUGAAACAGGAACUGGGGCUUAGUAUCCUUUAGAUAUUUUCUGAUAAGGGUUUUUUCUUAAACAAAGCUUUUGUAAGUAGUAAGUAAGGGAAGAAAGAAUACAGAGCAGGGUAAGGAAAGCCUGGCAUAGGAUAAAACAGGUAUAACAGCUUCAAGAAAUACUGCCCUCCUGUAUCCAUAGAAAUGUACAAAACAAUCCUAAAAACGAUAGGUUGGUGGUUGACUUCAUAUGGAAAAAUGGAUAGCAAGUGCAUCAUGUAGAUUGUAAGCCUGGAGUACUUAGCCAAUAGGAAACAGGAAAAUAAAAACCUGUGAUGGGAGAAAGGGGUAUAUAAUGAGAAGUGUUUCACUCGCAUGUAUGAUGUCUCUCUUACCAUAAAAGACUAUUGCAGU